GCAGAUAUAGUUUAACAAAAAUGUUGGAUUGUGAUUCCAAAGACAGGGGUUCAAACCCCCUUAUUUGCC
rnacentral:tRNA from 2 species